rnacentral:pre_miRNA from 1 species
UCUUUGCUACUGUAAACAUCCUUGACUGGAAGCUGUAAGGUGUUCAGAGGAGCUUUCAGUCGGAUGUUUACAGCGGCAGGCUGC